AACCUUGUUCAACUUAAUUUCUCAUUCUUUCAUUAAUAAUUAGUACUAGUCUGAUAAGUUAAGCUUAUAGCGAAAUGGUCCUCUGCCUAUGAUGUAAGAAAGAACAAUUCUACUAUCCAUUCAAAGUCUUCUUGGAGAGCCAAACAUUAGUUCACCUCUAAAUCCACAAGCAGCCCAGCUAUGGAGCAAUCAAGAAGAUUACAGAAAGAUGGUUCUCAAGUUAUACAAUUCUCCAAGUGCUACCGCUUAAACAUCCUUGGAGUUUGUCAAUCAAGGUGGAAAAAGACUCUUCUCUGUGUGCUCCCGAGAACGGAAGAGGAUGAGAAGUUUAGGAGUUUCAUUUGUUCUUUUUUUCCUGAUGGAACUGCAUUGAUGAUAUCUUCUAACAAAUCAUUUUAUGUUUCUGUUUUUGAAUGCAAGUUAUUAUUUUUUGUUUUUGUUUGGUGAAUUCUAAUUUCUAACUUCCAAACAAGAGUGAACUUAAUUAGACUAUGGUUUACAUAUUCAACACCAUCUUUUUUUUCAUUUUUUACACUCGUCAAAACCGCGGUAUGGUUACCAU